CAGAGCCAGAAAUUGCUUCGGCAUGAGCGUGGAUUUUAUUGUCAGAAGACUCUUCAGCAACACUCCAACACUGUACAAGCAGCCUGGAUAAACAUAAUUGCCUGUUCCCAAGGAGUCUGUGGGCUAUCAUGGUGCUAUGCUGACACGUUGGAAAUGAUUAAUGAAUGUGAGGAGUUUCAAAGGAUAUGAGUAAAGUACCUCUGGAAUGCGGUUUCUGUUGGCCUAGAAGAGCAAGAAUAAAGAGCUGAUUCAGCAGAGCUCUACAUAUAAUAAAAGUGCCAAGGAC